UACAGAGCCACGAGCGUUAGGCGGAAUCACUGGGCUUAAAGCGUGUGUAGGUGGAUGGGUAAGUACCUUGUGAAAUCCCACGGCUCAACCGUGGAACUGCUUGGUAUACUGCCUGUCUUGAGGCACUCAGGGGCGAGCGGAACAAAUGGUGGAGCGGUGAAAUGCGUAGAUAUCAUUUGGAACGCCAAUGGUGAAGACAGCUCGCUGGGGGGUGUACUGA
rnacentral:rRNA from 1 species